rnacentral:rRNA from 1 species
AUUGAACGCUGGCGGCAGGCCUAACACAUGCAAGUCGAGCGGAGCGGCGGACGGGUGAGUAAUGCCUAGGAAUAUGCCUGGUAGUGGGGGAUAACGUACGGAAACGGGAGCUAAUACCGCAUACUUACAGAUGAGCCUAGGUCGGAUUAGCUAGUUGGGGGGGUAAAGGACUACCAAGGCGACGAGCCGUAACUGGACUGAUAGGAAGAUCAGUCACACUGGAACGUAGAAACGGUCCAAACUCCUACGGGAGGAAGCAGUGGGGAAUAUUGGACAAGGGGCGAAAGCCUGAUCCAGCCAUGCCGCGUGUGUGAAGAAGGUCUUCGGAUUGAAAAGCACUUUAAGUUGGGAGGCGUUACCAACAGAAUAAGCACCGGCUAACUUCGUGCCAGCAGCCGCGGUAAUAC